rnacentral:rRNA from 1 species
GACGAACGCUGGCGGCGUGCUUAACACAUGCAAGUCGAACGGAAAGGCCCUGCUUUUGUGGGGUGCUCGAGUGGCGAACGGGUGAGUAACACGUGAGUAACCUGCCCUUGACUUUGGGAUAACUUCAGGAAACUUGGGCUAAUACCGGAUAGGAGCUCCUGCUGCAUGGUGGGGGUUGGAAAGUUUCGGCGGUUGGGGAGGGACUCGCGGCGUAUCAGCUUGUUGGUGGGGUAGUGGCUUUCCAAGGCUUUGCCGGGUAGCCGGCUUGAGCGGGUGACCGGCCAGAUUGGAAGUGGAAUAGGGCAAAGACUCAAGCGGGAGGGAGAGGUGGGAACUAUUCAGCAGCGGGAGAGAGCGUGUAGCAGCAACGCCGCGUGGGGGAAGACGGCCUUGGGGUUGUAAAGCGCUUUGGCCGGGGGCGGAGCGUAGGUGGCGGUAAUGGGUAAAGAGGCACCGGCUAACUACGU